rnacentral:lncRNA from 1 species
AGGAAUAGAAAUUUUAAAUACACACCCCUAAUCUUUUAAUACACAUCUCUAUUAUUUUAUGUUUCUAUUGAGAUUUUAUAGGUAAGCUAAAUGACCAAAAUAAACAUCUAUUAUUAAAAAAAUAAAUAAAAAUCGCGCUAGAAGUAUUCUUUUCAACAUCUUCUACCCUAAAAUCAUCGAAAACACGUCUUCUCCCCUAACCCCAACUCUUCUCCACAAUUCAUUUGGGUUGUCUUUUUUCUUCUUUCUUUUUUUUUU